rnacentral:rRNA from 1 species
GUGAGGAAUUCUCCGCAAUGGGCGAAAGCCUGACGGAGCAAUGCCGCGUGAAGGAUGAAGGCCUAUGGGUUGUAAACUUCUUUUCUCAGAAAAGAAUUAUGACGGUAUCUGAGGAAUAAGCAUCGGCUAACUCUGUGCCAGCAGCCGCGGUAAGACAGAGGAUGCAAGCGUUAUCCGGAAUGAUUGGGCGUAAAGCGUCUGUAGGUUGUUUAAAAAGUAUUCUGUCAAAGAUUAGGGCUUAACCCUAGAUAGGCAGAAUAAACUUUUAAGCUAGAGUUUGGUAGAGGCAGAGGGAAUUCCCGGUGGAGCGGUGAAAUGCGUAGAUAUCGGGAGGAACACCAAAGGCGAAGGCACUCUGCUGGGCCAAUACUAACACUGAGAGACGAAAGCGAGGGGAGCAAAUGGGAUUAGAUACCCGAGUAUCC